UCUGGGCUGGUACUAGGAAAGUGUCUGCAAAGAGUCCUUUGAUGUGACCUGUCUUCAGAUAUCUCAGUCUUGGAUAUCAGCACCUGCUCCAGCGGAGCAUCAAUUGCUCUACAAUUUGGAGAUAUCAGACGAACAGAGGGAAAAUGCAGUCAGUGGUCUAAAGCUGCCCCUUAGGAAAUCUAAGGCUAUAUCUGGUUCCAUAAAGUCUUUAAUCAGUCAGUCAGAACAACUGCAGCAUUCCUGCCGCUCAGAAUACCUUAAUGGCCUUAGUAGCUGAGGUCCUCACAGCACUGGCAAGAGCAACAUGGCAUUGGAAUGGGAGGACUG
rnacentral:lncRNA from 1 species